rnacentral:rRNA from 1 species
UACAGAGGCCUCGAGCGUUAGGCGGAAUCACUGGGCUUAAAGCGUGUGUAGGCGGAUCGUUAAGUACCUUGUGAAAUCCCACGGCUCAACCGUGGAACUGCUUGGUAUACUGGCAGUCUUGUGCAACCUAGGGGCGAGCGGAACAGAUGGUGGAGCGGUGAAAUGCGUAGAUAUCAUCUGGAACGCCAAUGGUGAAAACAGCUCGCUGGGGGUUUGCAGACGCUGAGACACGAAAGCCAGGGGAGCGAACGGG